UGUAGCAUUUUAAGAAUGGAUAUUGGAUCCAAGUCAUGUGACAAUGGGGAGAUUCCUGAGUGUGAAAUGUCAGAGCUGAAGCAGACUGGAUAGAAUCCAUUUAUGUCUUGGAAGCAUGAUUUCUUUCUAAGGGGCUUUCUCCAAGGAAAAUUUGAGGAUAAUGUUAGUUUUAUCAUAGAGAUUUAAUUGGAGGGGCUUUGACUAAUAAACUGGCAAUAACCAUGUUUCACAUUCAUUCUUUUCUUAAGCACAAAUAAUUAAAACCAGAAAUCUCUGUCUUGGAUAUUAUGGACCAUGUGUGUCUCUAAAUGAAGAAAACACAGAACCUAUGAGAAGGAUACCAAAAACAAUACCCAGAUGUUGUUGUGGUUGUCUGUUCUAAUGGAGGAGAUCCAUUUUGCCUUGAGAAGCAUUCCAGUUAGUUUUUGUAGAUGGAAAUCUAAUCAGCAAGAUAGGGAAGCAUUUUAUGUUAAUGAAGGAUGUUUCUAGUUUGUAGGAAGUCAUGGGCAAGAGAAAAAGAAUUGUAGGUGCAAAGUAUCAUCCUGUUCCCACUAGCUUUUCCAUGGAGCAUGUGCUUUGAUUCUCUGGUUUGUGCAGCAUCUGUAAUAUGUGACUGUAUUUGCCCACAUGUGUUUUUCCUUACAUAUUUCCUAUCCCCAAGUUUUAUUUAUUUUCUCCAUUUAGUUGUCAGCAGCAGGAAGGGCCUGCUGAAGGCUUGGUCAGAGUCAGCCUAGAAAUGCAAAGGGCCUAUGAACUAAAGGGAAAGAGGAAGUUUUCAUGUCCUAGCUAUUCAAGUGACCCUAGACUAAUAAUUCCCUGACUUCCCUGCAGCAGAGGUUGAUUGCAGUACAAAUACAUUCAUAUUUUUUAAAAAAAUCACAAAAUAUUACUAUGUUUUGUAUGCUCAAUACUCUGUAGCUUUGCUCAUUUAGCUGAAUUUUUUAAAUGUGGUUUUAAAACCUAUCUUCUUAUUUUUAAUCAUUAUUUAAUCCUAAAAAGUGUUUUAUUUAAUUGAGUGCUCUUGGUUUUGG
rnacentral:lncRNA from 1 species